GGGGGCGUUCUGGUUUCGACGGGAUGUUUGACGCGCUGGUUGCACGUAGAGGUUGAUCGGUUGGCCUCUUUAAAAAGCCGCUCAAAAAAAAUAAAUGCAGACUCUAACGAGCUCGCACUGGCCGCUUAAUUGACGACCACGUCUGAACCCCGACACCUGCUGAGGGGGAUGGCGAACACUUAGCAGGCUGGGGAAAGUGUCGGGCAUCCGGGCAUUUUUUCGAGAUCAAACAGGGUUCUAGGAUGAGCAACGCUGCAUGAGGGCCCAGCCCAUCCGAAGUUCUAGACAUCAUGCUAAACGUGUAGAUGCCAGUGUUGACGGCGUUUCGGACAGGGGUUCGACUCCCCUCGCCUCCACUC
rnacentral:tmRNA from 1 species